AGAACAGCUUCCAUGACUGCAACAACCACCAGAAGCAAUCCGUGGAGGGUCUUUUUGACUUCUCAUGCAGCUUCUCCACUACCCACUUUCGAGCCAGGCCUGCAUCACAGGAGCAAAUAGGCUACUCUCAAUCCUCAACUUGUGUCAAGCCAACCCUGUCAAAACCAGUAUCAAGGAAAGACGGAGGGAAAAAAGGAAGAAGAUACUGAAGGACCUUAUGCCUACAUAUCUCAAGAAGAUCUUCCUCUGAGGGCUUGAGUGUAUUAUUAUGGCUCCCUCUGUUGCUUUUUCUUUUGGCAUGUCAAUGAAGCGUGAGGCAACCUGAGAAAAUGGGAGGAUAAGAAUUAAGUUGUUUUCCGUUUUCUGCUGUAUGAUUCCCUUGUCAAGGGAGGAGGUAGCAAAAUGAAGCUUUGUAGGAUGUGUUCA